CCCUUAGAUGUUCUGGGCCGCACGCGCGCUACACUGACGAAUGCAACGAGCUUAUAACCUUGGCCGAAAGGUCUGGGUAAUCUCCAAAUUUCGUCGUGAUGGGGAUAGAUUAUUGCAAUUAUUAAUCUUCAACGAGGAAUGCCUAGUAAGCGCAAGUCAUCAGCUUGCGUUGAUUACGUCCCUGCCCUUUGUACACACCGCCCGACGCUCCUACCGAUUGAAUGGUCCGGUGAAGCGUUCGGACCGUGGCCUUUGGACGGUUCGCCGUCUGUUGGCUGCGGGAAGUUCGUUAAACCUUAUCAUUUAGAGGAAGGAGAAGUCGUAACA
rnacentral:rRNA from 1 species